rnacentral:lncRNA from 1 species
AGCUGUAAAGAAGACUGCAGUUAUGUAGUACUUUGUAUCCAGGGAUCUCAAAGAACUUUACGCAUCAUUUAUUGUGAACCUUGUUUUGCAAAGAUUUCAGUUACUUGAGGCUUGGGAGGCGGAUAGGGGAUAAAUGUCUGAGUUAUAUAUAUAUUUACGCAAGUAAUCGAGUUUGAGGGGAGAGACACAAAACCUCUGGUUUAGCGGUUUCCUCUUGUUUGUGAAGCACCUUCUAGCAGUUAUCUUAGAGAUGUAAGUUCAUUUACUUGUCCAGCACUAAAAGGCCAAAGGGGCUUGUUUUCUCACCCAAAAGACCUUCCUGAGGCAGCUGUUCGGAUACAUGCAGAGCACAGCGCCCUGCUCAGAAAGGAAGGUUCAGAGAACAAAUUGUCGUUUAAAACUAUUGGGACAAACCUACCUCUUCUAAAGCUUAAAAUGGUCUCCAGCGUACCAGGAUUUGUGAAGGCCUGAAGUUCGUAGAAUGAAAUCUAUGUGGAGAUGAUUUAAAAGAACGGUUUCACUGGUUUGCAUUUCUUUCUUUUCUUUUUAAUUAAAAAAAAACAACAACCCUGGUUUCCUUAGGGAUUCAGGGUGGUGUUAUGCAAAAUCGGAAAGGUACACUUGGAGGAGCUAGCAAGUUUAGCAUAUCAAAGCUAUUAGACCAAUUUGUGCGGUUAAAACUGCCAUUCUCAUUUCUCAACAGCUGUCUCCUCUCUGUCCCUUUUUAGAGACCAACACAUAUAAACCAAGUCUACACAAGAAACAAAGGUAAUGGAAAUCUGCUAGUAUCAGGUUUAAAUAGAUCAAAAUAGAGUAGAAAACCCCAAAAGGGUCUAAGUUAUGUAGUUGGGUAAAGGUGUUGAUCUAUUUAGCCAGUGUUAGCUAAAGGUCGCUUGAUGCUGUGUAGACAUACAUAACUAAAGAGCAAUGAAUGGUGUGGGGAAGGUGCUUAAGAUUCAGUUAGAAGAAACUGUAAAAGCAAGUAAAUUCAGAAAAGGAGGGAAUUACCACAUGCCCUUCGAUGCAGAGAACCAAGAAAUGCAGGGAGAAAGUCAGCAAGGCACAGUUUUUCUAAGAAACACAUAUGUGUCCCCAUUUAGUGGUAAAUUUCUUGGGCUAUAUUCCUGGCUGGUUCUGGCUUUUAAAGCAGAUUUUAUGUGAGUACAUUUUAAAGGAAAGGAGAAAUUGAAGGAUG